rnacentral:rRNA from 1 species
GACGGGACCCGCACAAGCGGUGGAUGAUGUGGUUUAAUUCGAUGCAACGCGAAAACCUUACCACCUUUGACAUGUACGGAACCCUUUAGAGAUAGAGGGGUGCUCGAAAGAGAGCCGUAACACAGGUGCUGCAUGGCUGUCGUCAGCUCGUGUCGUGAGAUGUUGGGUUAAGUCCCGCAACGAGCGCAACCCUUGUCAUUAAUUGCCAUCAUUCAGUUGGGCACUUUAAUGAGACUGCCGAUGACAAACCGGAGGAAGGUGGGGAUGACGUCAAGUCCUCAUGGCCCUUAUGGGUAGGGCUUCACACGUCAUACAAUGGUCGGUACAGAGGGUUGCCAAGCCGCGAGGUGGAGCCAAUCCCAGAAAGCCGAUCGUAGUCCGGAUUGUUCUCUGCAACUCGAGAGCAUGAAGUCGGAAUCGCUAGUAAUCGCGGAUCAGCAUGUCGCGGUGAAUACGUUCCCGGGUCUU